rnacentral:misc_RNA from 1 species
CCUUUCAAUGCAGCAGAAUUGGGAUAGUUGAGUAUCUCGCCUCUCCGUUCUGCCUGUAUUCUACCCUUGUUUGUCAUAUACUAUUAUUUCCUCGGCAGGCUUGCCUGCCGAGUGAAACCAUUUAUAACCUUUUUAAUUUUCAAUCAGCGUCUGAAAAAAAUUAAUAAUUA